GGUUUUUUGUUAACUAAAUAUAAAAAAUCUGACCUGCCCAGUGACUUAACUGUUAAACGGCCGCAGUAACCUGACUGUGCAAAGGUAGCAUAAUCAAUUGCCUUAUAAUUGAAGGCUGUAUGAAUGGUUCGACGCACUAAGACUGUCUCUGGUAUAUUAUCUAUAAAUUAUAUUUUAAGUGAAAAUACUUAAAUAUAAUUGAGGGACGAGAAGACCCUAUCGAGCUUUAAAAAAUUAUUGUUAAAAAACUUUUAAAACUUAUUUUAUUGUAAUUAUUUUGGUUGGGGCGACUGAGGAACAACUAAACCUUCCUUUAAAGAUACAAAAUUUUGAUUUUCGAUCCAGUAAUUUAUGCUGAUAUUAAGAAUUAGUUACCGUAGGGAUAACAGCGUAAUUUCUUUCACAAGUUCUCAUUGACAAAAGAAGCUUGCGACCUCGAUGUUGAAUUAGGGUACCCCAAAGGUGCAGCCGCUUUUAAAGGUUGGUCUGUUCGACCAUUAACAACCCUA
rnacentral:rRNA from 1 species